rnacentral:rRNA from 1 species
GACGAACGCUGGCGGCGUGCCUAAUACAUGCAAGUCGAACGCAGUGGGGACGGGUGAGUAACACGUGGGUAACCUCCCAUCAGAGGGGAGAACACUUGGAAACAGGUGCUAAACCGAUACGGAUGUAUGUACUCGCUGUGCAUUAGCUAGUCGGUAAGGUAACGGCGCACCAAGGCGACGAUGCAUAGCAGGCCUGAGAGGGUGAUCGGCCACACUGGGACUGAGACACGGCCCAGACUCCUACGGUAGGCAGCAGUAGGGAAUCUUCGGCAAUGGGCGAAAGUCUGACCGAGCAACGCCGCGUGAGUGAAGAAGGUUUUCGGAUCGUAAAACUCUGUUGGUAGGGAAGCGGUAUCUAACCAGAAAGCCACGGCUAACUACGUGCCAGCAGCCGCGGUAAUAC